CGGACGGGUGAGUAAUGUCUGGGAAACGGCCCGACGUGGGGGAGGUAACUACUGGAAACGGUAGCUAAUACCGCAUAAUGUCUGCGGACCAAGCGGGGACCGUCCGGGCCUCGCGCCAUCAGAUGAACCCAUAUGGGAUUAGCUUGUAGGUAAGGUAACGGCUUACCUAGGCGACGAUCCCUAGCUGGUCUGAGAGGAUGAUCAGCCACACUGGGACUGAGACACGGCCCAG
rnacentral:rRNA from 1 species